AUGAGAACGAUUUGUUAUUCCAUCUCAAUUUUUUUAAUCUCCAAUCGCAAUAACGUAAAGUAUUAUUACCCGCGAACCAAUGAGUCAAAUUUAAGAAACAACCCACUGUUAGAAAGCUGAAUGGCUACGCUUUAAAAUGAAUGUAAACUUUAACGUUUUCGUCUAUUAUUUGUUUAGCAAUUUACAUUUCAGUCGAGGAUUGCGCUUUUUUUGAUACACCCUGUAUAUCGAAUUUAUUCGGGAUUUUUUGCAUAAAUUGUUGAAAUUCCUAUCUAGUGUACGCUUCGCAACUCCGUACAUUGUAUAACAAUAGACAAUUCCCAUUAUAGACUAAUUUUUUAUCUUGGCAAAAAAGUAUAUUCCGGGAAAGAGCAUACUAAAAUGAGUAAAAUUGCAAAGUUUGGUUGCGAAAUGUUGUAAAAUGCGGAAAAUAUAGUCUUGCAAAGUUUGAAAAUUUUGUAUACUUUUGUGCUGCGCGCGGAAAUCGCUACCACAUUUGGGCCUAAAAUGGUAGCAAUUUCCGCAGCACGCAAUAUAAAAGUAUACAAAAUUUGCAAACCUUGCAAGGCUAUAUUUUCCGCAUUUUACAACAUUUCGUAACCAAACUUUGCAAUCAGUUUACUAAUUUUAGUAUGCUCUUUCUAGUCGUGGUGAUUUAUUUGCAUCUCCUUGCCUGGUUUUAAAAUUAGUCUGUAAUGGGAAUUGUUUAUUGUCUAUUCGUGAAGUGGCAUGCAGUGAAGAUCAUCGUUGGAUAACUGAUUCUGUUGCAAACUGUUAGGGUGUUGCAAAAAUGUUAUGGUAUUUACGCUUUGUAUCGCAUGUUCUAAUUUUGUUAACAUCAGGAGCGUAACUAUCCCUAAAUGUGGGGGCAUGGUCCGCCGUCCAGGGGCAUGGUCCCGCGGAAAAUUUU